UGGCGGGGAUAAUUUAUGAAGUGUGACAUAGUGUGAAUCUGUGUCUAGCUAUCUAUGGAAAUUUCACUAAUAGAAAUUUUAAAAAAUGAAAGAAGUUCGACUGGUCUUCUGUACGGAGGAAUUGACAAGGUAAUAAUGGCAGUUGUGUAGACCAAAAAGACAACACCUCAUCACAUUCAUCACUGAGGCUGCAAAAUAAUCAUAUUGUGAGUUCCACUAAAUCAGUGUGAUUGUGUUGUAUUUUGACAGACUCUCUCCAGUGAAUAUUAUUUCUUUGUCUCAUUUGUAUUCUUUACAAACAGGCAUGCUUCUGAGACCUCUUGCUAUAAAAUGUUCUGCAUUGUUUAAUAAGGAGUACUGUGAUCCUGCAAAUCUGCCA
rnacentral:lncRNA from 1 species